UUGACGCCGGAUCCACGGCCGCGUUCCUUCUGCCCGACCGCAGCUUCCUAACCUCUCCGGAUGCCCUUGCAUCCUCGGAAGAUCACAAAAACACUCGAAUCAUCCCCAACACAAGUGAAUACCAACCAGUGAAGUGGCCAACGACAGGUUCUUACGGUGCAGUGUAGUGCAGCAUCACCUUGCGGGGACUCCAAAUUAGUGCGUACAAACCCUCAUCAUAUCAUCAGCGAUGAUGGCUUUGCCUCCUACCGGAUAAGUUUUGAAUAUUGUGGGUGGUAACGUUUGGGGGAAAAAAUCAGUUAUCCCAUCAUACGGAUGAUUUUCAUGAAUAACAGUUGAUACUGUGAAUUGAACUUUCGCUUCAAGUGAUUUUUUCACGAUAGUUUAGACUAUUGAUAACACUUUUUCUCACUAGGAACAGGAUAUUUCUGCAUUAAAUGUUCUUUUAAAAAAGUGAUUGUUCUAAAGCUCGUUCGUUACGAUGCGGGAAAGUGAUGCAUAAUGCGGAUUUUGGAGAAGAGCCUCAUCGAACUUAGCAGUACAUCAAGGAUGCGGAACUGAAAAAAGAAUGUAUCCAAACCUGCUGUUUCCACAAAAGGUUCGUUCUCGGAAUUAUUCCUAUAGAGUUUGAUGCGUAGUAAUAAGAAUAUCCAAGGCAACGUAAACAACAUACCUCUUUGUAAGUAAUUCAUGAUUUUUUUUUCGGUAAUCAGCAGUAUGGUUCGUGUCCACGCCAUUAGAGA